UACGUAGGGGGCAAGCGUUGUCCGGAUUUAUUGGGCGUAAAGAGCGUGUAGGCGGCUAGAUAGGUCCGUUGUGAAAACUCGAGGCUCAACCUCGAGACGUCGGCGGAAACCCUCUGGCUAGAGUCCGGAAGAGGAGAGUGGGAAUUCCUGGUGUAGCGGUGAAAUGCGCAGAUAUCAGGAGGAACACCGGUGGCGAAGGCGGGUCUCUGGGCCGAUACUGACGCUGAGGAGCGAAAGCGUGGGGAGCGAACAGG
rnacentral:rRNA from 1 species